GCACAUCUUUAAGGGGAACAUCAUCUACCUACAAUAGUGAAAAUUGAAAUACUGAAGGAGCAUUGGAAAUCGAUGAUGGACCGUAUACAGGAAGGAGCCCUAAGAUAGAUAGUGGAACAUAUUCAGAAUUUUUAAAUCACAGAAGAUUGAUAGAUGGAUACAUAGAUGCAGAAUAAACACAGGAGAUUGAUAGAUGGAUACAUGGAUAGAUUAUAAGUUACAAUUUGCUUGAGAAAACUUUACAUCUAUCUAUCAUAUUUAUAUUAUAUAUGUACAGAAGUUUACUCAAGCAUAUAUUAACGUUUUAGACGUAAUUUUGGGGACUGGCAUGAUUAUAGAUAAUUGCACUAGUUUACUCAAGCACAUAUUAACGUUUCAGAUUGGCAGAUUGCUUUUGAAUAGGCAGAAACAAAUAGGCAGAGACUAACUGGGCCUUGCCAUUUGAUUGGCAGAUUUGUGUGCACAGAUUAGUAGAAACAAAUUGGCAGAUUGAGUCUGCCUAUAUGUCAAUUUUUCAAUAUAAAAGGUUGAAUUUUAGCCCAAAAGCAUAAUAUGUCAAAUUUUAGUCCAAAAGCCCAAAACCAUUUUGGGAUUCUCGAUUUGUCCCGAAAUCCUGAAACUAUUUCGGGAUUCCCGAAAAUUUGGUUUGGGAUCGGUAUUGAAAUUGGGAUUCCCGAAAAUUUCGGUUUGGGAAUCGGGACAAGGGUUUCGGUAUGGGAUCCCAUACCGAACCACCCCUAAUCAACUCACAAUUUGGAAAAAAUUUCCCUAUUCAAAUUUUAUUUUAAUUGCAUUGUCGUUUAAUAAGUAUUUGUCAUGUUUUUAAAAAGAUCAUUAUAUCAAAUAAAUUAUUAAAACAUAUUGAAUUAGUGACAUAAAAAAAUCUUUCCACAAUUAAAGGUUACCUAAAAAUGCUUAUAAAAAUUAAUUUCUUGCCAUGCAAAUGAUAUUAUACAAUAAUCUACAUUGGAAAAAGAAAAAAGAAAAAGUUUAAAUUCAAGACUCAAUGAACUGAAGAAAAAGGCCCCGACUAAUACUACAGUCAGCCACUUGCAAAAAAUGGAAUUUAAUAGUUUCACUCUAGAAACGUUGUGAAGAGGUCGCACUUGGUGCGAUGGCAAGUGUUUCGCCCAUGGGCGGUAGGUCUCGGGUUCGAGACUUGGGAGCAGCCUCUCCAUAAAUGGGGGUAAGGCUAGCCGACAUUCACCUCUCACAGACCCUGCGUAAAGCGGGAGAUUUGUGCACUGGGUACGACUCUAGAAACGUUGUCAUACAAACCUUUACGUUUAAAAGGAGUGUAUAAUAAGGGUUUGUCGAAUAACGUUUUACAGAACGAUUUUCAAAGAAUUCUUUUGUAAUACAAAAACUACAAAUAGGAUUUUAUAUUUUUAUAAUUUGAGAAUGCAUGUGGUAGUUUAAAUUGAGAAUAAUAUUUUAGAAUGAAAACAUUGAAAAUGUGUCUGACAUCUAAAUCUUAAAUAUACAAUAAAUAUAUGAUUUGAUAGUAAU
rnacentral:lncRNA from 1 species